GGGAAACCGAGUCUUAAUAGGGCGAUUUAGUUGCAGGGAUUAGACCCGAAACCGGGUGAUCUAGCCAUGAGCAGGUUGAAGGUGCAGUAACAUGCACUGGAGGACCGAACCCACCAACGUUGAAAAGUUGGGGGAUGACUUGUGGCUAGGGGUGAAAGGCCAAUCAAACCCGGAAAUAGCUGGUUCUCCGCGAAAACUAUUGAGGUAGUGCCUCGGAU
rnacentral:rRNA from 1 species